rnacentral:lncRNA from 1 species
CAAGGCUGUGGGUAUGAGGCCGGGGCCCUGCACCGGAAGGGAGGGCGGAAGCCACGGGACGUGGAGCAGAUGGUGAGGAUAGUGGGGAGGUAGCAGCAGAGGAUGACCCGAGGCAAAAGUGCAAGUGAAGAAAAGUCGCCUUGCCGGGCAGAGGAAAUUACUCCAGGAUUUGAAUCAUCACAAGAGAUUCACCAGAGGAUUUUAUACACUUGGGCUGUGGCAGCAGACUAAUUACAUCACAGCACUAGAG